rnacentral:rRNA from 1 species
AUGAUAAAUGGGCUACUCUUUGAGCUUUCUAGAAGUCCAAGGGACUAUGUUUUAUUUGUGGUGAGAAAUGGUCCCGUGAUCACCAAUGCAAGAGUUCAGUCCAAUUCCAUUUUGUGCCGGAGCUUAUUGACCAAUUGGACUCCAAUUCUUCUUCUUCUCACUAUGAGGAUGAUAAUGCUCCUCCAGAUCAUGUUAUGUCUAUUUCAGAAGCAGAAGUUGGCCUCAAAACGUCUGCUCAUACCAUCCAGCUUACAGUGCAAUUGCAGGGCAAACAACUGUUAUUUUUGGUUGACUCUGGCAGCACUAAUUCAUUCCUGGACAGUGCUUUACAGUCUGAAUUGCAAGGUGUUUGUUUCUAGCCCUCCUUCUACUGUCAAAGUAGCUGGAGGUUCUCAGUUAACUUCUUCUGCUCAGCUACUUAAUUGUUCUUGGGUUACUAGUGGCUCUGAGUUUCAGACUGACUUUAAGUUUCUUUCUCUGGGAGUUUAUGAUGGCAUUUUGGGAGUGGACUGGCUUAGUAUUCACAGCCCUAUGCAAGUGGAUUGGUCCCAAAAAUGGUUGUCAUUCAUGUACAAGGGAGAAUUGGUUCUGCUGCAAGGCUUAUUACCCCAUGACACUACAUUUGCUGUGGUUUCUUUAUCUGCUCUCAUCCCUGCUGAUACAGAUCCUAUUCCCGUAGAAGUUAAAUCAGUAUUGGAUCAGUUUGAAGUUGUCUUUUCUAUUCUUGAAGGAUUACCUCCUAGAAGAUAUUGUGAUCACCAAAUUCCUCUCAUUCCUGGUGCAAGACCAGUGACAGUAAGACCUUAUAGAGUGGCUCCUCACCUCAAAACCGAGCUGGAAAAACAAGUGGCUGAACUGUUGGAGCAAGGGUUGAUCAGGGUUAGUACAAGAGCCUUUUCUUCUCCAGUUUUGUUAGUCAGAAAGAAGGAUGGAACUUGGAGAUUGGUGCUUGAUCACAGACAUAUGAAUGCUAUCACUGUGAAAAGCAAAUUUCCCAUACCUGCUAUAGAUGAACUUCUGGAUGAAUUAGCAGGUGCUUCCUGGUUCUCUAAGUUUGAUCUGAAGGCAGGAUAUCAUCAGAUUCAAUUUUCCCCAGGUGAGGAAUUUAAAACAGCUUUUUCCACACAUAAUGGGCAUUAUGAAUUCCUGGUGCUUUCUAUGGGUUUUACUGGUGGUCCCAAUACAUUUCAAGGGGCUAUGAAUUAUACCUUGUCUCCAGUCUUGAGAGUUUGUGCUCUUGUCUUUUUUGAUGAUAUAUUAGUUUAUAGUAAAACAUUUCUUGAUCACUUAUCUCAUUUGAAACAAGUCCUUCAGUUAUUAGCAGAAAGUGAAUGGAAAGUUAAAAUGAGUAAAUGUGCUUUUGCUCAGAGGAAAAUAGCAUUUUUGGGCCAUGUUAUUAGUGAAGAAGGUGUAGCAACUGAUGACACCAAGAUUGUAACUGUCCAACAAUGGCCAACACCUACCAAUGUCAAAGAGGUUAGGGGUUUCUUAGGCCUUACAGGUUAUUACAGGAAAUUCAUUAGACACUAUGCAAUUAUUAGCAAGCCAUUGACUACUCUGUUAAAAAAGGGUGUGCCCUUCAUUUGGACCACUAUGGCAGAAGAAGCUUUCAUGGUUCUUAAGCAGGCUCUUGUCCAAGCUCCUGUUCUGGCUCUGCCAGAUUUUAACAAACCUUUUGUUAUUGAGACUGAUGCUUGUGAUGUGGGUGUUGGAGCAGUGUUAAUGCAAGAUGAUCAUCCUCUAGCUUUUAUCAGUAAGGCAUUAGGCCCCAGGACUCAAACACUCCCAGUUUAUGAAAAAGAAUAUUUGGCCAUAUUGUUAGAAGUGGAGCAAUGGAGGCCUUAUCUACUGGUGAAAGAAUUCAUUAUCAAGACUGAUCAGAAGAGCUUGGUUCAUCUCAAUAAUCAGAGAUUACACACUGCAUGGCAACAGAAAGCACUAACUAAGCUUAUGGGUUUAUCUUAUACCCUCGUUUAUAAAGAAGGCAGUGACAAUUCUGCAGCUGACUCCUUGUCUAGAAGACCACAUGAUUGUCCUGAACUUCUCUCCUUGGUACAUGUUCAGUCCGAUUGGCUUUCUGAGAUUAUAGCAAGCUAA